rnacentral:rRNA from 1 species
CAGCAGCCGCGGUAAUACGUAGGGUGCGAGCGUUAAUCGGAUUUACUGGGCGUAAAGCGUGCGCAGGCGGCCCGUUAAGACAGGUGUGAAAUCCCUGGGCUCAACCUAGGAAUUGCGCUUGUGACUGGCGGGCUCGAGUACGGUAGAGGGGGGUGGAAUUCCUGGUGUAGCAGUGAAAUGCGUAGAGAUCAGGAGGAACACCGAUGGCGAAGGCAGCCCCCUGGGCCUGUACUGACGCUCAUGCACGAAAGCGUGGGGAGCAAACAGGAUUAGAUGCCCUGGUAGUCCACGCCCUAAACGAUGGGUACUAGCCGUUUGGUGCGCGAUAGCGCUGAGUGGCGAAGCUAACGCGUGAAGUACCCCGCCUGGGGAGUACGGCCGCAAGGUUGAAACUUAAAGGAAUUGGCGGG